AAAUAAGAAGCAAUAUGCAUUUAAUUUCGACUUAAAAAUUUGAGUUUAGUAAACUCCUUAUUUAA
rnacentral:tRNA from 1 species